AUAAGCGCCGGUAAGGUGAUAUGAACCGUUAUAACCGGCGAUACCCGAAUGGGGAAACCCAGUGUGAUUCGUCACACUAUCAUUAACUGAAUCCAUAGGUUAAUGAGGCGAACCGGGGGAACUGAAACAUCUAAGUACCCCGAGGAAAAGAAAUCAACCGAGAUUCCCCCAGUAGCGGCGAGCGAACGGGGAGGAGCCCAGAGCCUGAAUCAGCAUGUGUGUUAGUGGAAGCGUCUGGAAAGGCGCGCGAUACAGGGUGACAGCCCCGUACACAAAAGCGCAUGUGCUGUGAGCUCGAUGAGUAGGGCGGGACACGUGGUAUCCUGUCUGAAUAUGGGGGGACCAUCCUCCAAGGCUAAAUACUCCUGACUGACCGAUAGUGAACCAGUACCGUGAGGGAAAGGCGAAAAGAACCCCGGCGAGGGGAGUGAAAAAGAACCUGAAACCGUGUACGUACAAGCAGUGGGAGCACCCUUUGGGUGUGACUGCGUACCUUUUGUAUAAUGGGUCAGCGACUUAUAUUCUGUA
rnacentral:rRNA from 2 species